GUAGGGGAACCUGCGGCUGGAUCACCUCCUUUACGAGAAACGCCGCUCACACGAUCACAAGUUCCCACACAAGUAGUCUGGCAGACCGCAUUUAUUGCAAGUGCUCUAGUACCGAACACGGGUCUAUAGCUCAGUUGGUUAGAGCGCACCCCUGAUAAGGGUGAGGCCGGUGGUUCGAGUCCACCUAGACCCACCACUCUUGCAUCGCAAAAGGUUCAUGGGGCCAUAGCUCAGCUGGGAGAGCGCCUGCCUUGCACGCAGGAGGUCGUCGGUUCGAUCCCGUCUGGCUCCACCACUUUCUGGUCAACGUCGCAGUAACAUUAGUAAUAAUGACACUAAGCACAUGACACCAAAAAGGCAUUGCAAUAAAUGUACACAACCACGGUAACUUCAGAAGUCACCGCAAAGCAAACCCUCUUUCAUCAUACCAUGAAGCAGUCGUUUAUUUUGCACUGGCUUUUGUCAGUUCAACCUAAGUCAUAGGUCGUUCUUUAACAAAAUGGAAAAAUAUCAAGGCGAAAUGUAUAACUGAGAAGAUUAUAUAUCUCAAGAUUGAUCGUUACGAGAUUAUAGACACGCUGUAACCCAGGUUUACCGCACAAAAGGUAGUAGACUGUUUCGGGUUAUAGGAUCAAGUGACUAAGCGUACACGGUGGAUGCCUUGGC
rnacentral:tRNA from 1 species